rnacentral:rRNA from 1 species
GCCUAACACAUGCAAGUCGAACGAGAGAGAAGCCUUUUGCUGCUUCGAUCGAGUGGCGAACGGGUGAGUAACGCGUGAGGAACCUGCCUCAGAGAGGGGGACAACAGUUGGAAACGACUGCUAAUACCGCAUAAGCCCACGGGUCGGCAUCGACCUGAGGGAAAAGGAGUGAUCCGCUUUGAGAUGGCCUCGCGUCCGAUUAGCUAGUUGGUGAGGUAACGGCCCACCAAGGCGACGAUCGGUAGCCGGACUGAGAGGUUGAACGGCCACAUUGGGACUGACACACGGCCCAGACUCCUACGGGAGGCAGCAGUGGGGAAUAUUGCACGAUGGGGGAAACCCUGAUGCAGCCACGCCGCGUGGAGGAAGAAGGACUGCCGAUUGGAAACUCCUGUUGUUGAAGAAGAUAAUGACGGCACUCAACAAGGAAGUGACGGCUAACUACGUGCCAGCAGCCGCGGUAAAACGUAUGUCACAAGCGUUGUCCGGAAUUACUGGGUGUAAAGGGAGCGCAUGCGGGAAGACAAGUUGGAAGUGAAAUCUAUGGGCUCAACCCAUAAACUGCUUUCAAAACUGUUUUUCUUGAGUAGUGCAGAGGUAGGCGGAAUUCCCGGUGUAGCGGUGGAAUGCGUAGAUAUCGGGAGGAACACCAGUGGCGAAGGCGGCCUACUGGGCACCAACUGACGCUGAGGCUCGAAAGUGUGGGUAGCAAACAGGAUUAGAUACCCUGGUAGUCCACACCGUAAACGAUGAUUACUAGGUGCUGGAGGAUUGACCCCUUCAGUGCCGCAGUUAACACAAUAAGUAAUCCACCUGGGGAGUACGACCGCAAGGUUGAAACUCAAAGGAAUUGACGGGGGCCCGCACAAGCAGUGGAGUAUGUGGUUUAAUUCGACGCAACGCGAAGAACCUUACCAAGUCUUGACAUCCCUUGACGAACAUAGAAAUAUGUUUUCUCUUCGGAGCAAGGAGACAGGUGGUGCAUGGUUGUCGUCAGCUCGUGUCGUGAGAUGUUGGGUUAAGUCCCGCAACGAGCGCAACCCUUAUGGUCAGUUACUACGCAAGAGGACUCUGGCCAGACUGCCGUUGACAAAACGGAGGAAGGUGGGGAUGACGUCAAAUCAUCAUGCCCCUUAUGAUCUGGGCUACACACGUGCUACAAUGGCGUAACAAAGGGAAGCGAGCCUGCGAGGGUGAGCAAAUCCCAAAAAUAACGUCCCAGUUCGGACUGUAGUCUGCAACCCGACUACACGAAGCUGGAAUCGCUAGUAAUCGCGAAUCAGAAUGUCGCGGUGAAUACGUUCCCGGGUCUUGUACACACCGCCCGUCACACCAUGGGAGUCGGAAAUGCCCGAAGUCUGUGACUCAACCGCAAGGAGAGAGCAGCCGAAGGCAGGUCUGAUAACUGGGGUGA